UGGAAAAAAAAUCAAACUCAGCAUGUCUGAAUAGUAUGAAUUUCUACAUUUCCGAUGAAAAGAAAGGAAAUUUGAGAGAUAACAUUGACCAAUCCACCUCUGAGAUGCCUACGGAAGAGACACCGGAACUGAUGAUACUGGAGAAGGAAGGCUCUGCUAGAGGACUGCACCAUGGAUUGUGGAAACUGAUGAAACAGGAAACCUGUAGGAGUCAGAAUGGAGUCCAAUCAAGGAAUAUUCUCCAACUCCAGGAUCCCAUAUGCUGCUCCACUUCCCAUCCAUCUGCUUGCUUCUGGCCUGGGAAAGCAGUAGAGGAUGUCCCAAAGCCUUGGGACCCUGAACCCAUGUGGAAGACCUGGAAGAAGCUCCUGGUUCCUGGCUUCGGACUGGCUCAGUUCCAGUUA